AUAAAAAAUCAAUGCUCUUCGGAGCUCUUUGAUGAUUCAUAAUAACUUUUCGAAUCGCAUGGCCUUGUGCUGGCGAUGGUUCAUUCAAAUUUCUGCCCUAUCAACUUUCGAUGGUAGGAUAGUGGCCUACCAUGGUUUCAACGGGUAACGGGGAAUAAGGGUUCGAUUCCGGAGAGGGAGCCUGAGAAACGGCUACCACAUCCAAGGAAGGCAGCAGGCGCGCAAAUUACCCAAUCCCGAUACGGGGAGGUAGUGACAAUAAAUAACGAUACAGGGCCCUUUCGGGUCUUGUAAUUGGAAUGAGUACAAUGUAAAUACCUUAACGAGGAACAAUUGGAGGGCAAGUCUGGUGCCAGCAGCCGCGGUAAUUCCAGCUCCAAAAGCGUAUAUUAAAGUUGUUGCAGUUAAAAAGCUCGUAGUUGAACCUUGGGCUUGGUUGGCCGGUCCACCUUUUGGGUGAGUACUGGACCCAACCGAGCCUUUCCUUCUGGCUAACCCUCUCUUUCGGGGGA
rnacentral:rRNA from 1 species